rnacentral:rRNA from 1 species
GACGAACGCUGGCGGCGUGCCUAAUACAUGCAAGUCGAACGGUGAAACGAGGUGCUUGCUCCUCUGACGUUAGCGGCGGACGGGGGGGUAACAAGUGGAUAGUCUACCUCUAACACUUGGAUAACAUCGGGAAACAAGAGCUGCUACCGCAUAAUAUAUUGAACCGCUUGGUUCAAUGGUGAGAGACGGAUUUGCUUUCAGUUGUGGAUGGACCCGCGCCGCAUUAGCUUGUUGGUAAGGUAAUGGCCUACCAAGGCAACGAUGCGUAGCCGACCUGAGAGGGUGGUCGGCCACCAUGGAACGGAGACACGGCCCAGACUACUACGGGAGGCAGCAGUAGGGAGUCUUCCGCAAUGGGGGAAAGCCGGAUGGAGCAACGCCGCGUGGGGGAGGAUGGUGUUCGGAGCGUAAAACUCUGUUAUUAGGAAAGAAGAAAGGUGUAAGUAACUGUGCACGGGUUGACGGUACCUAAUCAGAAAGCCACGGCUAACUACGUG